rnacentral:rRNA from 1 species
GACGAACGCUGGCGGCGUGCUUAACACAUGCAAGUCGAACGGAAAGGCCCUGCUUUUGUGGGGUGCUCGAGUGGCGAACGGGUGAGUAACACGUGAGUAACCUGCCCUUGACUUUGGGAUAACUUCAGGAAACUGGGGCUAAUACCGGAUAGGAGCUCCUGCUGCAUGGGGGGGGUUGGAAAGUUUCGGCGGUUGGGGAUGGACUCGCGGCUUAUCAGCUUGUUGGUGGGGUAGUGGCUUACCAAGGCUUUGACGGGUAGCCGGCCUGAGAGGGUGACCGGCCACAUUGGGACUGAGAUACGGCCCAGACUGCUACGGGAGGCAGCAGUGGGGAAUAUUGCACAAUGGGCGGAAGCCUGAUGCAGCAACGCCGCGUGCGGGAUGACGGCCUUCGGGUUGUAAACCGCUUUCGCCUGUGCCGAAGCGUGAGUGACGGUAAUGGGUAAAGAAGCACCGGCUAACUACGUG